rnacentral:rRNA from 1 species
UACAGAGGUCCCAAGCGUUGUUCGGAUUUACUGGGCGUAAAGGGCGCGUAGGCGGCCACCGCAAGUCGAUUGUGAAAUCUCCGGGCUUAACCCGGAAAGGUCAACCGAUACUGCGGGGCUAGAGUGCAGAAGGGGCAACUGGAAUUCUCGGUGUAGCGGUGAAAUGCGUAGAUAUCGAGAGGAACACCUGCGGCGAAGGCGGGUUGCUGGGCUGACACUGACGCUGAAGUGCGAAAGCUAGGGGAGCGAACGGG